UUUUGAACGAAACAUUAUAAU
rnacentral:piRNA from 1 species